rnacentral:tRNA from 1 species
GCCGCCGUAGCUCAGUGGUAGAGCAUCGGCCGCUUUAUUCGAAGGUCGCGGGUUCGGUCCCUGCCGGCGGCA